UCUGACCCAGCUGUACUCUCU
rnacentral:miRNA from 13 species